CUGGAGGGCUGCAGUCCACGGGGUCGCAGAGUCGGACACGACUGAGCGACUUCACUUUCACAAACAAGUCAGAGAAUUAUUCACUGAGAGUUUGUAUUUGAAAAGAUCAUACCCUAUGAAAUGAAAGUAGUUUAAACAACAAGAUCAAGUAUGAUCUCACUAACGUGAUUUGAAAGGACUCUUCUGUAAACGUAUUUACAUUUCUAGUGCACUUGUAAGUAUGUCAAAAAAGUUAUAUAUCCUUUGGACAUAAAGAUGUCUUACUUGCUUUCAAACUUAUUUUAUUAAACAUUAGAAGUAACAGUAAUAGAUUUUCAAAAAGCAUUGACGCUUAUACUUGUUAUAUUACUUCUUUGGGUUAAGAUAUACUUUUAAAAUUGCAGGUGAAUUUAAUCUUUUAUAAGAUUAUUUUCAUAUUCCAUAAAAUAUUUUUCCACAUUAACAUUUCAACUUGGGAAAGGGAGAUGAGAAUGGCCAUUAAGAUAAAAUCUUUAUGUUAGAAAUAUGAAAGAUAGCAUGAAAACAUUUUGUUGGAUUUAGAACAAUUCAGAUUGAACAUGCGCCCCUCGGAGACCUACCCAAGGGCUUUGAUACCUGUCUAUCCAAAUGGCAGUGAUGUUAUUUUUAUUUUGUCUUCAUUAUUUUAUUUUUAGAUUUUCCCAUUCUUUCAAAUGUGACACAUCAUGUAAUUGUUGACAGUUUAUGUGAUAUAGUCUCAGAUCUAAUUCAUGGGGCUUUUUAUGUAAGUGUUUAAUGAUACGUUUGAAGAGAUGCUAUUGGAUUCAGAGAACAUAGAUUGUUCUUGGAAACAUUAAUUUGAUUUUAAUAUAACUUUCCCCCAUCAGGUUACAGUUGAUUUCUUACCUUGGGAAAAUCCUAACUGAGUUUAAUUCACUCACAUUUUGAAAGUUUUUGCAUUUAGCUUCAUGAAGCAGAGACUUUGCAAAUAGCUGUAAAGCAGAGCCAUAUUCUAAAAAUUAACUCUUUGAAUGUAAUCUCAUUUAUCUGACCUUUUAUGUCAGAGAUUAUAAUGCAGAAUAUGCAGGUUUAAAAUAAAUGUUUAAAAGCACUUCCUUAAAGGGAUUAUUCAUCACAUGUAAAUUUCAUUUUUUAACCUUCAGAACAUGAAAAUAACAUAGCAUUUCUUCUCUGUUUUACAAAACAACAUUCUUGUGCAUCUGUUAAAUAUACAAUCUGGCUUUCAGGGACUUUUUGGUCUGGGGUCAAAUUCUGUGUCCUCUUAAGUAUCUGUAUUGUUAUGUCCCUUUUGUCUUGUUGCUUGAAAAGAAAAUGAAGAUCUUUAACGUCAUUUGUUCUGAAAACAAGUACCCAAGUGUGUUUAACAAGAAACAUCAAGGAUGUAACUUCUGCCCUGCUGGUUUGAAAAUCCAAAAUCUUCUUUGCAAAUAGAGUCAUCUGUUGGUUACAACUGGAUCAAAAAGUAACAAGUCUUGUGUGGGUCUUUAGCCUAAAUCCUCACCCAGCCUCUCCCAGAUUAACCCUGUUGUGCCUGGAUUAACCUCUCAGAACCCAAGUAUUGUUUCUCUUCAUUACAUUUAUCCCCAUGUCCCCUGUUGUCUUCGCUUUCAUUAGGGGGAAGAGACAAGGGAGGGUUUAAACCACCAUCAGCUUCUUCAGCUUGGAGUAUCUGUUUGAGUUUCAUAUUUGCCACUUGCUUCCCACUCCAGUGUAAACAUUCAUUUGGAAUCCAAUAACCAUGUCAAUGGACAUCAUUAACACGAGUGCUGAGCGGGCUGCAUGAGCCGAUACUAGUGAAGUCUCAUUAGCUGUCCAAAACCUAGAGCCAGAGAUGACAGUUUUGCAACUGAAUUAAUGGUCCGUUGACCCAUUUGCUAUAAACAAAUUGCAGCGAGUAUUAGCAUUUGAGAACCAUAGCCGUUUUAAAAUGACGAAUUUAGAAAAGUACAGUACGUCCCCCGGAGCCUGUCAACAGACAGUGAUUCAUAAUACGUUGGAUUCUUUCAUUUUCUACCAAAUCUCUUAAACAGAUUGGAAUAUUACACGCAUUUAACAUAAAUUUGUUGGCAGGGCACUGGAUUGAAAAAGACAAGGUAAACAUAACAUGAUGCUGGCUGUGGAGAGAAAUUAUUUCACUCUCAUCUCUGGUUACCGUUGCAGUUAAGACAGCUAUUCCUGGCUUUAUGCCAAAGGAAAUUUGACAUUGAAUUAGAAAGGCUGUGAGCAUAGAUCUCUGAACUAAGUCCUGGGUAAGGACGAGAGUGAUGUUAUUUUUCUUAGAAAUGGCACGACAAAGAAUCAAUACUGGGAGCCUUCUAUGAUGUCAUAAUUUGAUUUACUAGGUGACCUGCCAGCCAGUCAGUGACUGGCUAAGACUUUCUGAGCCUUGCUGAGCUCACAAGCCUUGCUUUUCUAUUUACAUGUGAAUUUAAUCUGGACAUAAGUUUAGAAGCCUCCGAAGAUUAGUCUCCCUGUCAAGAUCAAGUGAAAACACUUACAAAACUGAGAUCUUGAGAUCAUGGAUUAUUCUUGGUUUUCUGUUUUAUAGCUUUUCUGUUCCCUUCUUCUGAUAACAGUACAGAGAGCUUGGGGCUUUUACUUCAUCUCUGAAAAUGAUUCUUGAAUGCAAAUUUAUAGUUAGGUGCUAGAGGUAAGGACUCAUGGGGCUUUCUGGGAAAGGAAGUCACUUCUUAUUAUUAUUUGUAUUAACAGGCUAUCCAGAAGGAAAGCAAGACUCCCACAUUCUUUCCCCAGUAUACAAAAUGAAUCUUUUUGUGAAUUUUGACUUCACUGCUUUCACCAGAAAGAACAUUCAGGGUUUGAUGCUGGGGCCAGAACCAGCUCCAUAAAUUUGUGGGGUCCAGAAAUCCCAUGGACAGAGGAGCCCGGUGGGCUACAGUCCAUGAGGUCACAAAGAGUCAGACACGACUCAGUGACUCACCAACAGUAGUAAAUUGUUGAAGAUUUCAAGGCUGGCCACAGCAGAGCAUUAAACCCAGCACAAGGCUAUUCUAGGGUUCAUGACGCCAGUCCGGGUUGGAGCCAAAUCUCAAAGUUAUUCAGUGGCAUUUGCUUAGCAGUCUGAGGAAUGCCCAACUUGAUCUCAAAUCCCAGCCACUCCAGUUUAGGAAGCUUCCGAGGGAAUUAGAAACAUAAGAGACAAUGGGUGGAAAAGAAAGUUCCAUAUCCCAUGCUAUUAUUUGGUUGGAUUUGCACAAAAUCUGCAGAUUGGUACAUGGGACUGGAGAAUGUGGCCCGAUUUAAAGCCACAGUCUCCCUUUCAGGACAUUUAAGCCCAAACCCAGUUGUAGAAUCUUCCCAUUUCACUCCCUGCCGACCCAGGCCAACUUACCCUGAGAAAGGAAGAGAUGAAGGAAUCCAAACAGCAGAGCUUGCGGACACAGAGAGAAAGCAAGCGGGCCUUGGGGGUGGGAGGCAGCCUUAGCUCAGUGGACAAUUUUGGCCAAAAAGGACCAAUAUGACCCCACACUGAUGAGCACGGUGUAUCUGGCCGUACAGUGCCCUUGCCCGUGGCGCAGCUGGUCAUGGAGUUUGAGCGGAUUCUUUAACAUUCUGCACAGAGCGGAGCAGGGUAGAGGGAAGAGAGGAUACAAUUCCCACUCCCGCCUCCCUUGAGUGCAGUCAAGGGAAAACAUGGAGAAAAAAUAAUUCAUUUCUUUUAAGCAUUUUUCCAAUGAAGGCUAUUUAACUCCCACAACUCUAGGAAAAUAACAGAUGCUCGCUGAAGAAACUACUAAAAAAUAAGUGACUUCUAUUAAGCAUUUUUCCAGUGAAAGGGUAUUAAACCCUCACAACUCUAGGAAAAUAACCCACGUUCUCUGAAGAGAAUAUGAAAAACAAAAGCCAAGGAUAAUAAAAAAGAAAAAAAAAGCACAUUGAAUCUCCUGUUGCUUCAGAAGGCAAAUUUCUUAGAAUCUUUUGAAAUAUCGAUGCACGGGAAAGAUGGAUGCACCUUCCAAGGGAAGAAACUUCCUUUUUAGAUGCAAGGGGGUUCCGACGAGUAUCUAUGACUCAUCCACGGAGUGUCACUGAGACACCAUUUUCAGCACAGACAACCUUUUGAACAAGAUCCAUUAAUCCCCUUUUCUCCCCUCUGAGCCUGAGUUUCUAGUCUGGGAGAAGUGAAAGGUUCAUGAUUUUCUGCUCUCAUUGUUAUGAUCUUUGCAUCUCCAAAAGCGCUGACGAAUGACCCGUGAACCCGGAGCAGAAGAGAAGUGCCGAGGCUGCUCCCCACUAAGCCCCGUGGGUAAGCAGUCCUGCCGCCCUGUCAGAGGCCACCUCUGGACGCAGCUCACAGUGCUGCAUAGAAAAAUAUCUGGAAGGCGUCAAUGGAGGGGAGACAACUUAGCCAACGUCUAAUCUUAGGUGACUAUCCCCUCAUCCUUCCUCGGAGCCUGGAACACUUUCCACUUCUCAUUGGAAAUGUUAAUACGUCUGCCUGGCAUGUCAAACGUGGUAGAAAGAACACUUUGACCCCAUCAGUGUCAUUUUGCACAAUAAAACAAGCUAAAUGAGAA